rnacentral:tRNA from 1 species
GUCCCCCUAGCUCAGCUGGAUAGAGCAUCGGCCUUCUAAGCCGAGGGUCGCAGGUUCGAGUCCUGCGGGGGACG